rnacentral:rRNA from 1 species
GACGAACGCUGGCGGCGUGCUUAACACAUGCAAGUCGAACGGUGAAGCGCCUUCCUUUUUGGUGGGUGUGGAUGAGUGGCGAACGGGUGAGUAACACGUGAGUAACCUGCCCCCUUCUUCUGGAUAACCGCAUGAAAGUGUGGCUAAUACGGGAUAUUCUGUGUCUGUCGCAUGAUGGGUCUGGGAAAGAUAUUGUUUCGGUGGGGGAUGGGCUCGCGGCCUAUCAGCUUGUUGGUGGGGUGAUGGCCUACCAAGGCGGUGACGGGUAGCCGGCCUGAGAGGGUGGACGGUCACACUGGGACUGAGACACGGCCCAGACUCCUACGGGAGGCAGCAGUGGGGAAUAUGGCACAAUGGGCGCAAGCCUGAUGCAGCGACGCCGCGUGAGGGAUGGAGGCCUUCGGGUUGUGAACCUCUUUCGCCAGUGAAGCAGGCCUGCCUCGUUUGUGGGUGGGUUGACGGUAGCUGGAUAAGAAGCGCCGGCUAACUACGUG